rnacentral:rRNA from 1 species
GAUGAACGCUGGCGGCGUGCCUAAUACAUGCAAGUCGAGCGAACAGACGAGGAGCUUGCUCCUCUGACGUUAGCGGCGGACGGGUGAGUAACACGUGGAUAACCUACCUAUAAGACUGGGAUAACUUCGGGAAACCGGAGCUAAUACCGGAUAAUAUAUUGAACCGCAUGGUUCAAUAGUGAAAGACGGUUUUGCUGUCACUUAUAGAUGGAUCCGCGCCGCAUUAGCUAGUUGGUAAGGUAACGGCUUACCAAGGCAACGAUGCGUAGCCGACCUGAGAGGGUGAUCGGCCACACUGGAACUGAGACACGGUCCAGACUCCUACGGGAGGCAGCAGUAGGGAAUCUUCCGCAAUGGGCGAAAGCCUGACGGAGCAACGCCGCGUCAGUGAUGAAGGUCUUCGGAUCGUAAAACUCUGUUAUUAGGGAAGAACAAAUGUGUAAGUAACUAUGCACGUCUUGACGGUACCUAAUCAGAAAGCCACGGCUAACUACGUG